CUUUCAGGGAUCAUUUCUAUAGUUUCUGACUUGGAAGUUUGAUUUGAAAGUGUAACGUCUCUCUAACCACGAUGACGAGUUAAGAUGCUUUCUUCUGAGCGUGAAUCGAGUGGUGAGCGACGAGCGAGAUUGUCUGCUCUCUGUCAUUGAUGAACGUUCCUGCUGUGCUUUGCAGUCUGGAAGAAGAAAGCAUGUUCAGAGUGGU
rnacentral:snoRNA from 1 species